CCACAUAACUACACUGUACCAAUUACAAUUAGCACAAAGCGUGUGUGUUCAUGCAAGAAGGAGUUUGCUACUCGGCUGAAGGACUUGGUGGACAAAGUGGAGGUAAAUGAAGACCAAAGACUACUAACAGUCCUGAAAAACAACAUCCAGAUUUUGAAAAAUCAAAAAUAUGACAAUAAGGUGCCGUGCCCCCAGAAGAUGUGGAUAAAAAAACCACAGAAGCUGGACAGAAGUAAAGUUUCGGAUCAUUUAGAUAGGUACAUUAAGUUCAUCAGGAACCUGAAUACUUGGUGCGUUGAUAAUCCUAUGGAUUGAUGUUGGGUAAU